rnacentral:rRNA from 1 species
CACGUAGGGGGCAAGCGUUGUCCGGAUUCAUUGGGCGUAAAGAGCUCGUAGGCGGCUCAGUAAGUCGGGUGUGAAACCCUCAGGCUCAACCUGGGGACGCCACUCGAUACUGCUGUGGCUAGAGUCCAGUAGAGGAGUGUGGAAUUCCCGGUGUAGCGGUGAAAUGCGCAGAUAUCAGGAAGAACACCCGUGGCGAAAGCGGCUCUCUGGAACGGUACUGACGCUGAGACGCGAAAGCGUGGGGAGCGAACAGG